UCAUAUGAUGAAACGGCACUGGGCUCCGAGAGUACCUUAGACAGUACUUAUCUCAUGAGCGAUAACGCCUUUUUGCGGCAGGCCUAGAAAACCUCGCCCACUGAUU
rnacentral:snoRNA from 1 species